rnacentral:lncRNA from 1 species
GCACUUUCUCUCUCUAUGCAGAUCAAUAGGGCCCUUGGAUAUGACCUCGAGUUCAAUUAUGGCUUCCAUUAUGGAAUAAAGAGGCUGUUAUCGCACACCUACCGCUUACAGAAACAGUGCACUGGGGGGGCCGGCCGAGACAGGUCCUGGGGGAAAUCAUUACCUCACUAAUUUGAAAUCAAUUUAAAGCACAUUUGCUUAAUGGUAUGAGCAUUGAGAAUUAUCUAUAAAUUGUUAAUUUAGUGGAAUGUCACACCAGAUUUUCAUUUUACAAAUUGCACUUCUGGGUUGGCCGAUGUGAGGGUGGGUGUCCUUCCUCUCCCUGUCACCCUUGCUCUCAUGAAAGGAAGCUCGAAUCUGCCUCCUGUGGUCUGAGCUUGCAGACUUCAGAAUCUGAGGCAAUGAGGGCAGAAGAGGCACGGUGGGAAGAGCUUGCACACACGUGACCCACCCCUGCCUUGGGGACAGUUUGAGGAGGAGGAUGGGGCAGAGCAGGGGACCCCGGAAGAGCUGACCUCCUUCUGAGCUGCCUCUGCCUGGCUCGGUGCGGGGAGGUCGCUAUGGCCUCUCCUCGGUGGGUCACUGUCUCUGUCUGGACUGGAGGACGGGAGCACUGGCAGCGAAGCAGCCUCCAGGGUGAGCGAGCGCCUAGUGGCCAAGGUCUUCUAUGUCCCCCACAGCGGGUGUCCAAAGAGCCCAGGGUAUUGGCUGAAGUGACAGCUUUCUCCCUUCGCCUUCAGGUGUGCGGGGCAUUGGGCUGGCUCUUGGGAGCAGGUAGGGAUCUCUGUACCCAACCAGCUGGAACUGUCCCAGGCACGGGACUAGAGACUAGAAUAAGGAAACUGCCCUCAACAACAGCCACCAGGACAGGUUAUCACUUGCUUUUAUGGAGCCCUUUGUGCCCUGCUCUGUGCCCAGGGCUUGCCAAAUCCUCGCUGGAAUACUGAAUUAGGGUUAUCAUCAGCCCCAUUCAACAGAUGAAGUUCUGAGACUGGCUGAUUGUUUGAAAAAAGUGGUCAUAAUAAUCCUCUCCCCAGCCCUUUGCAACAUGAUCGUGGGGUCCCUCCUGUUAGGAGGUAGGAACUGUUCCCCACUGGAACCUGGGCUGACCUGGGGCCCACAGCGACACCAGAAAGCAGCCGAAGUGAUGUGUGCCAGUUCUGAUGCCCGGCCUUGGGUCUUGGUUCCCUUGAGCUGCCAUCACAAAGCACCAUAAUUGGUGAUUGAAAUUUAUUUUCCCACAGUUCUGGAGAUAGAAGUCCAAGAUCGAGGUGGUGGCAGGACUGGUUUCUCUCCUGGGUUGGCACAUGGCUGUGUUCUCCCUGUAUUCUCAUAUGGUCCCUCUGUGCCCUUGGUGUCUCUUUGGGUCCUAAUGUCUUCUUGGAAGGACAAUGGUCAGACUGGAGUAGGGCCACCCAAAUGCCCUCAUUCUAACUUCAUCUCUUGCCAAAAGCAGUCACAAUCUGAGGUACUGGGAGUUAGCCCUUCAACGUAGGAAUUUCGAGAUGGUAGUGUGUUCUGGUUUAUAUCCAAAAUGCCCUCCCUCAAAGUCUCAUAUGCUCAGAGGUGGAGCUUUUGAAGGAUUGCAUCAUGGGGAUGUUAUACUCAUUGGUGGAUUCAUCCAUUGAUGAAUUAAUAACUGAAUGUGCUGUUAGGAGGUGAGGUCUGGUCAAAAGAGAUGGAUCACUGGAGGUGUGACCUGAAAGGGUGUGUCCUUGUCCUUGGCUCCUCCCUUCUCUCUCUCCUUCCUGGCUACUUGUUGAGCAGCUUUCAUUCACCAGCCCCUUCUGUUAUGCUGUUUCUUCCCUGAAGCCAGCCAACCAUGGACCGAACCCACUGUAACCAUGAGCCAAGUAAACAUUUCCUCCUUGAAGUUGUGAGAGUCAGGUACUGUAUUUUUCCCCAAUGACAAGAAAGUAACUAACAUGCUGAGGGGCAAUUCAGCUCAUAACAUCAGUCAUAUUGGAUUAGGACUCACUCUAAUGAUCUCAUCUUAACUAGAUCAUGUCUGUAAAGAUCAUAUUUCUCAAUAAGGUCACAUUCAGAGACACCAAAAGUUAGGACUUCAACAUAGCCUUUUUGGGGGACACAAUUCAGCCCAUAACAGGGGCCAUGUGCACAGGCACACAUUCUCCAGGAACCCUGACACCAUGAGCAAGCCAGAGCUAGCCCACUGCAAGGCAAAUGAUACAUGGCCCUCUGACCUCUGCUCCUUGGCCUGACUGUCAGCCAAGGCUUCCAAAGCACAGCCACCAGCUAACCGAAAGCUGGGUCAGAAAAACCACUCAGAUGAGCCCAGCUUAAUUUGGGAUCUAAGAGAACUGUAAGAUGAACACAAGGUUGUUUUAAGCCACUAGAAUUUGAAGUGGUUUUUCAGGCUGAAGAAGCAAUGGAUAAACAGGCUGAGUGAGAUUAAGUGGCAUGUGCAAGGUUGCAUAGCUCCAUGGCAACCCGGGUCAGGGACAGGACAGGUGUCAGGUUCUGCCAAGCACUCACAGGGGCAGGGAAGGCAGUGGGAAGCCAGGACGGGGAGGGCAGAAGGUGCAGAGGAUCGAAGGCUCCAUAAUGACAUGUCCCCCUGCAGCCAGGGCACCCUUCUCCCCAGUUCUGAUGAGAUCAUUCCCAUUUCACAGGUGGGCAGACCUGGGGCUCUCACGAAGGCUUCCUGGAGGAAGCUGAGCCCCGAAGGAUGAGGGGGGCGCUACCCAGUGCAGUAGGAACAGGAUCACGUGAGGGAGAGGGAGCAGCCACACAAAGCCACUGAGAAUUUGGCUCAGGAGAGGCCUGAGGUGCAAAGGGGAGGCUGUGGCAUGAGAUGAAAACAGGCACAGUGAGACCCUGCCGGCCUUUGAAGGCAGUGUGAAGCUUCGCCUUAAAUUCUGGAGGUAGUGGGCAGUGGUGCAGUCAGCUACUGCUCUAACAGUGCUGCAUAACAAGCACGCACAAGUCCAGUGGCUUCAAUCAUUCCCUGUCAGCUGGGAGUUGGCUGAUCUACAGUAGGAUGAGCUGGGCUUGAUUCCAGGGGUGCCGGCAGGUCCAUGGGUCCCUUGGCCUCCUGAAAGCAGGUGGUUCUUGGGGACAUAUCCUUCCCCUGGAGGGGCAGAAACAGGGCCACUUUCAAGGUGGCACAUUUCAAGCCUUCGCUUGCUUUACACUUGCCAAAUCCCAGUGGGCAACAAAGUCCCCCUGGCCAGAUCCACCAUCAAUCGGACAAGAAAACCUAUUCCGCCCUUAGUCAGAGAAGAACAACAGGGCAGGGAUCGGUUUCUGUUUAUUGAAGAGCUUUGCAACUGCAAGUACACACACACUGUCCUGAGUUGGGAGAAGCCUGUUUGGUAACAGUGAUGAAGAUAGCUGAGCGAUGGCAUAGCAGGGAUCGCUGUGGCCAAGGCCUGGACAAACACUAUCUUAUUAAAAUGCAAUCACCAUGCAUGGUCGGCAUUAUUCUGUUUAAUGGAUGAGCAAACAGGUAAAGAUCGAUCCAUGACUUGCCCAAGCAUGCAGCGGGUGUCACAUCGCAGCAGGGUGGUCGCAGAGCCAGCUCCAGCCUCCUGUUUCCAGGCUCCCUGUUCUAAGCACCCCAGUGCCAGACUGCGGCACUGGGCAAUGCCACUCUCUUGAUUUAAGGGCCCUUGAUCUAAGGGUUUCUGCUCAGAAAAGGUAUUCAGAGAAGUGCUGGUCCCAGAAGCUUUGGUGGGGAGCUCUCAGGACUGACAGCUGCUGAUGCUCUCCCCUAGGGGAGGCUGCGCCCCCUGCCUCCCCUCCUCCCUCUGCCCUGCAGCCAGGGUGAGCUUUGGAAGGAGCAAAUGGCAGCCACCUCUCUCCCCUGCUUUCAAAAGCAUCCAGAGCAGUGGUGGCGAACCUAGAGCAAGUGUGGCACAGCGGGCUGUUUGUAUCAUUGAAAGCUCUAAGAGGUUCGCCAUUGCUGCUCUAGACAAUGCAACCCUGCAGUCAAAACCCGAGGCCUGGGAAGCUUCAGGACAAAAGCCUUCCUCUGCUGCACUCUGCCCCCUCCUGCAGACACACACAGGUAACCACUCUUCUCAUUUUUCUUGGAUUUUCUUCAGAAUCAGGUUUUGCAUAUAUAAGCAAAAACGAAUAUAGAUUCUUUCACCUGCACAUUUUUUUUUCCUAAACACAUAAUCUAGUGUAUUUUACAUGGCCUUGCGAGCUCUUCUCCCCCACUUAACGCACCUUGGCAAUUUUUCCAUCUUGGCUUGGAAAAUUCCCUCAUCAUCCUUUCCAGCUGCAGAGGAUCUCACUGCCUGAGCGGGGCUGUCACUUCCUUUAUGCAUCCCUGUGCUGAGGGACAUUUGGGGGCUACAGUUCCUUGCUAUACCACACAUUUUCAGGAACUUCUGCACGUGGCCAGGGUAAGUUUAUCUGCAGGAUAAAUCCUCAAGCAGGACUGCUGAAUCAAAAGGGCUGUGUGAUUAUAGUUUUGAUAGUUACUGCUGAAUUCCAUUCCACAGCUGAACCAGUUUACAGUCCCUCGGGCAGUGCCUAGGAGAAGCUGUUUUCCCACCCCUGGCCAGUAAACUUAGCUUCUUUGCAGAUCAGUUAGGUAGGAAAUGUCCUUCUGCUUUUAAAAUCCUUUCAUCACAUCUCCAAUCCCCUCAGGGUAAACUCCUGGUUCCCUGGGCAAGGGUGGGACAGCCCUGUCCUUUUUCAAGGCUCACAACAGCCAGGAAAGGAGAUGGGGACACGGCUCAGCUCUGUGGCCUCAGCCUUAGCAGCAGCAGCACAGGGCACUUAUCUUGAGGCAGGCUGAGGGUUCCCAAGAAGGACAGACGUGGCCCGGCAAGAUAGGCACCAGAAAAACUGGCUCUCACGGACAUCUCCUGGUCCCGGGCGGCAGGGAGGAGGUGCGCUCCCUUGUCUUUCCUUGUGCUCUUGGCCUCUCCUCCCUGCAUGCCACCUUGGCACACAGGAUGCCUGCACAUCCUCGCAGACCCCAGCUGGCUGCUGUGCCCAAGCAAGCGAAGAACAUCUCAUUAAGCUUGGUAAAGCUCAUUAAGACCUCAGCCACAGAUCGGCAGCAAUUGAAGGUCAAGGUUCUUUGCAUGGGAGUCAGUGCCUUUGGGACCCUGUGGCAUCAGCAGUCACAGACAAGAUGAUGGACGACCUAUUUGUAGGUGAGGAGGCAGCCAGCUGUGUGGCCAGAGUCCCCUGGAGCACCCAAAUCGUCACCCAGGUCUUUCCCCCAGGCUUGUCCCACCCUGCUCUGGGAGGAGGACAACUGCCAGCUGGGGGUGGGACAGAUCAGUCAGCACUCAGGGCCUCAAGGGUAACAUGGGAACCCAACUUUCAGGGGUCCUGAGGGUCACAGCAGCUGCACAGAUGCCAGCGAGCCCUAGCAACCUUGGAAGAGGCGGCACUGGAACAUGGUGUGGCCUCCUCCACCCUUGACUGUCUACCCUGCGCCAUGGUACUGACAAGGUAGAAGCCAAGGGGCGGGAGGAAGAGCUGUCCCUUCAAAGUAAAUGGGGCAGGAGAGGGCUCUUUAUGAAGCGGCUUCAUGUGGGCUGCAUGCAAACGAUGUGCAAAUGACCCACCUCCACCUUAGAGAUGGGUUAUGGGGAGGGUCUCAGGACAAGGACUUGAGAUGACAGCCCUUUCUUCGAGCUCUUUCCAGGUGUCCAGGCCUCUCCCCAUAAGGUCCAUGCUCUUCAGGGAUGGCGGGCAUUUGGGAGAGGGCCGGCCCUGCAGAUGUAGCCCCCACACAAGGGUCAGUGCCGCGCAUGCUCCUGGGCAGGACCCUUCCCCUCUGCCAUGGCGAUCUGAGAAAAGCAGGAAAACAACCGUGCAAAGUCUUUUGCAAACACAAGGGGUUUCCUCGCGUAUUUUAAGAACGGGCCUCUCAAUCGGCCCGCCAGCCUCAGAUGUCCCUGUAAUCAUCAGCCUUAUUUAUUUAUUUUUGGUACCGGGAAUCAAACUUGGGUCCUUGCGCUUGCAAGGCAGGUGGCGGAACCACUAAGCUAAAUCCCUGGCCCAGCAUCGGCCUUUGUGACAACUGUAGUGAGAAGCUGUGUACACCUUGGGGAUCGAGCUCGGCUCACCAGUCCCUUGCUGCACGGUCCAGGCAAGUCAGCCCCUUGGGGCCUUGACUUCCCCACGAGUGGAAUGGGUACGACAGCAGCUAUUCCUUAAGUCGAGCCCAUGAGCCUGAACGUGUUGAGCCUGCUACACAAUGGUGUGUCCCCCCAAAACAAUGAAGUCCUGAUCCCGGCACCCCUGAACAGGAGCGUGUUUAGAAACAGGGUCUUUGCUGCUGAUCAGGUUAAGAUGAAAGCAUUGGGGUGGGGCCCGACCCAGUGUGAUUGAUAUCCCUCUUAAUCAAGGAAGAAGCUGUGAAGAGAAACAGUUAGAAAAGACGGACAUGAAGACUGAAGAUGAAGGCGGAGACUGGAGUGAUGGAUCGGAAAGCUGAUGGUGCCAGCAGAAGCUAGGGAGGCCCAGAACCUCCAGAAGGAACCAGCCCUGUCAACACCUUGAUUUUGGAUGUGCAGCCUCCGGAACUGGGAAGAGAGACUCAGUUCCGCUGUGCAAGCCAACAGCUGGUGUUGUUCCAGCAGCCACAGAACCAAACGCCAACCCUGAGAAGAGUGCCCAGUGCAGUGCGGGGUGCCAGCUGGUACCACUAAUGGCUCAAUCUCCUCACCACAGAUCUGAUAUUCUUUCAACAAACACCAAGCACGGCUCCACACCAGCUGGCACAAGAAGGGCACAGUGGUGCACACCUGUGCUGGAGGUCACUCUAGGUUUCCUCCUCACUCUGAGAUUACACCCAGCUCAGCGUGCCCAGCUUCACCAAGUUCAGAGAGCAGCGUGUAUGCCCGGGAAAGGCAGAGCCAGGCAUUCAGAAGGCUCACAAACACCCACCCGUGGAACCAGAUGGGCCCUCGAAGACAGGAGCAGCUGGCGCCCACCUCCCAUGGCAGAGGUCCCCAGGGCACCCCGGACCUCGUUCCCAGAAGAGCUGGACACCUUCCCUCCAUGCCCAUCCAAGGACAGGCCAGCUCUGUACCAGGCUCUGGCCGGGCUGCAGAGAGCACUGAGCUCUUUCAACAUGAAGAAUGGGAUGUAGCCGGAGAUGCUUCAAAGGCUCACGUUAAUGGCAGCGGUCUGCAGUCUCAUUGCACUUUAACAGGAACCAUCUGCCGUGAGCAGGCGGCAGGCACGGCCAGCUCUCCCCGCAAGGGCUGCCCCCCAACAUCCACCCUCAGAGCUGCGUGGGGGAGACGGGCUUGGACCUGUGGGGAAGGUCAUGCGGAAGCCUGCACCCCAGGAGGGCCUCAGAGGAAGCCCCAGGCUGGAGUUGGGACAUGCACAACCCCAGGCCAGUCCCUCUGUCCUCACUGGUCUGCAACAAAAGGCCUGGGGAGGACAUAGGUGUCACCCAGCUGUAGCCCACACAAAGAAGACGGGAGGGGACGAGGAGCAGGAGGUGAGGUCCCCGUCCCUGAACCUGCUGUGCUCUUCCUGCAGAGGCCCCUGGGAGGCCCAGGCUUGGGGACAGCGCUGGCUCUGGGCUGACCCAGCCCCAGGACAGUCACUCUGCCCCCUGGUGCCUCAGUUUCCACAUCUGUAGCACGGGGCACUGGAAAGCCCCAGAAGGCUGUGAGCACUGAGCAAGUGAGGGGAGGCCCCUGAGGCAGUCAGCUGCCCCCACGGUGACCCGGCACGGGAGAGGGCUGCUCCCUGGCACUGUGGACAGAGCCCAGAGAGGCUGUCUGUGGCCCCAGGUGGGCGUAGUGACAGCUGGCUUCAGCCCCAGCUCGGGCUCUGGCUGCGAAGACCACAGUGUGGGCUCCAGUGUGGCCAGGCUGGGAAUGGGUGUAGCCGGAGCUGGGCAGGGCAGCAAGGGCCUCCAGGCCGGGCCCAGCCCCAGCCUCCAUGCCGAGGUACACGAGUCAGGGAUCCGGCCCGGCUAUAGGGCUGCCCCGCUGGGCAGGGGGAUCUUAUAGCCGCUGCGCAGGAGCACGAGGCAGGCGCCCAGCCCCAGGGCCCCCGCCAGCAGCACGGCGCCCAGGGCCUUGAGGAAGGAAGUCCUGGUCCGGGUGAAGGAGCCGGCGCCAUGACGCCCAGCAGGGCGGUGCUGACGGUGAGCGUGUAGAGGAUGGACACAGCCGUGUUGAGCGCCACGAUCUUCCCGAACUUGGCAAAAGGGGCGAUGACGCAGAAGAAGAGGGGCACCGUGGCGAUGACGGUGGUGAGGGCGCUGGACACGAUGGCCACGCCCACGUGCCGCCGGCCUCAGGGUCCGCCACUGGCGUUGUGCGCCCGGG